GCACUUUCCCCGCCUGCAUCUGAGGCGUGGCGCAGCUGGGAGCAAAGCACAGACAUUGGACAUUAGGCAGAAGAAUUCUGUGACUCCUGUAAAAAGAGAAAUGCCUGUGGUGUUAUUGGACAUCAACCUAGUAUCUGGUCCAUCUAACUAUGUCUGGUUAUCUGGUUACAGAACUGCGGUAGACUGAUAUGUUGGUUCCUUUAUCACUUGACUUACUAUUUCCUUCCCCUAAAGCGGAGGACAGAGAGGAGUCCUGGGAGGCGGCUCAUCAUUGCUGAAGAUCAAGGCUUGGAGGAGCUACUGGACUUGGAGGUGCAGUCCCGAUGCCUGGAGUCCAUUCUUGCUGUUCUUGCUGAGAAGAUGUUAGAGCACCACAGGCUUGUUGGCCAAGGUCCUGGAAAGGUGAAUGCUGCCAUUUGCUUUAAGCUCCCCAAACUAUAUUGUUAAUAUAUGGAGGCUUUCACAUGUACCUCUUCCUUUUCUGGCUACUUUGGGUUAAGAUUCUUUAUAGUCUGUAUGAGUAAAGGCAAAUAAA
rnacentral:lncRNA from 1 species